UGGGUUGGGAGAGAGAGACAUGUGUUUAAACUUCUAAAUAGAAGAUAAGAUAAAAAGACCACAGGGUCCACAAAAACAAAAAAGACUUUAUUCAAUAAAGUCUUUUUUGUUUUUGUGGACCCUGUGGUCUUUUUAUCUUAUCUUCUAUUUAGAAGCUUAAACACAUGUCUCUCUCUCCCAACCCAU